GCUACUGCCCCAAAUGAAAUAGUGGUAUCUGACGUAGUACCUAGACGUUCAGGUCGGCAGCGUCAACCCAUUCAACGUCUUCAAUAUGCAGUGUUGGGUAAUCCAUUAAUUUCAGUUGUUCAAACUCUUUUCCAGAGCUUGUCUAAUGUUUAUACAGAGGCCUUAAGUCAAGCUGCUGCAGCAGACUCUGUCCCUAAACUGUAAUGUUUUUGCAGUCCUUAUGCAACGGGGACGUGCAUGAUUUGAGGGGGGAGGGUGUAACCCAGGUGUUUUCUGCCUUGUUUCCUCCUUCUCGCGGCUCCGCACUGCGUGCGCAUUGUCGCGAGACUUCGUGUCAGUAUCGCGAGAUUUGACACGGAGUUGCGUCAUUUUCCUUUAAAUAUGGCCGCGCGCUGUUUGGUGUGUGUGAGCCGCGAGGGAGCCGCGAGUGAGUCGCGAGUUAGUUGCGAGUGUUGAGCUGCUGCAGAUGCCUCUACUAUUCAGUUGACUGCUGUUUGAGUGACUUAAUGAUACAGGAACUGGCCAGGUUCCGUGUAUGGAUGGCGAGCCGCUAGGCCCGAACUGAUUCUGUGGAGUUUAUCCAUCUACCGGUGUGGUAGGAGGCGCUGCAGCUGCUUAAUUGAAACAUCUGCACACACCUUUGGACAUUUUUACAUCUGCACACACUUUCAGACCAUAUUUAUUGAACUGAUUUCAUGGUCCAUUCCAUUAUGGACUCAAGUGACUCCUGUUUUACAGAUUGUGUGUUGUAACUGCUGUGGCUUCAAGUACUGCCUAUUGAGUAGAGUGCUGAUUGUUGUACGCUCAUUAAUAACUUUGAACUGAAUACUACCUAGGUGCACAUGUAAAUAUUGUAUUGUUGUCUAUUGUUAAUUGUCUAUAUUUAUGUAAUACAAUUCACAACUGCACUGCAGCAAUGAGUUUGUGUGUUCAUUGAACUUCACCCUUUUCCUCUUUGAGCCGAACCAAGAUUUUCUGAUACUGGUCUACUAUUGAUAUAUCUAUAAUUGCAGCAUUUAUACA